GAUUAACGCUGGCGGCGUGCAUAACACAUGCAAGUCGAACGAUGAAACUUUAAUGACCCCUUCGGGGAGAAUUAAAGCGGAUUAGUGGCGAACGGGUGAGUAACGCGUGAGUAACCUGCCUUACACAAGGGGAUAGCCUUUGGAAACGAAGAAUAAUACCCUAUAAAACCAUAAAAGCACAUGCAAUUAUGGUCAAAGUGAUAGCGGUGUAAGAUGGACUUGCGUCUGAUUAGCUAGUUGGUGAGAUAAAAGCCCACCAAGGCAACGAUCAGUAGCCGGCUUGGGGGAGUGUACGGCCACAUUGGGACUGGGACACGGCCCAGACUCCUACGGGAGGCAGCAGUGGGGAAUUUUGCACAAUGGGGGAAACCCUGAUGCAGCGACGCCGCGUGAUUUAGAAGGCCUUCGGGUUGUAAAAAUCUUUUGUAUAGGAAGAAAAUGACAGUACUAUACGAAUAAGGUCCGGCUAAUUACGUG
rnacentral:rRNA from 1 species